UACGUAGGGGGCAAGCGUUGUCCGGAUUUAUUGGGCGUAAAGAGCGUGUAGGCGGCUAGGUAGGUCCGUUGUGAAAACUCGAGGCUCAACCUCGAGACGUCGAUGGAAACCAUCUAGCUAGAGUCCGGAAGAGGAGAGUGGAAUUCCUGGUGUAGCGGUGAAAUGCGCAGAUAUCAGGAGGAACACCGGUGGCGAAGGCGGGUCUCUGGGCAGUAACUGACGCUGAGGAGCGAAAGCGUGGGGAGCGAACAGG
rnacentral:rRNA from 1 species